CACGUAGGGUGCGAGCGUUGUCCGGAAUUAUUGGGCGUAAAGAGCUCGUAGGCGGUCUGUCGCGUCUGCGGUGAAAACUCGGGGCUUAACCCCGGGCCUGCAGUGGGUACGGGCAGACUAGAGUGCGGUAGGGGAGACUGGAAUUCCUGGUGUAGCGGUGAAAUGCGCAGAUAUCAGGAGGAACACCGGUGGCGAAGGCGGGUCUCUGGGCCGUAACUGACGCUGAGGAGCGAAAGCGUGGGGAGCGAACAGG
rnacentral:rRNA from 1 species